AGGGGCAACACAGAGAUUUCAUACAUGAAAUUCUAGAAGAACCCUACAUAUUUAUGUCUCUGAUGUUCACAUUUAAUUAAGUUAUUGAUGAAUUUCACCACCGUUCGUCCUUCUAUCUACCUAAACAAGCAGUUGAUCGGUCCAUCAUUUUUUAUAUGAACCUGCAAUCGCUCUUUAGGUGAAGAUGGUGGAUCAUAGCGACGCAGACGGUCUGAACAGGUUCUGAUUAUUGGGGUUGGAGUAUGACGGUUUGGGAGUCACGGAACUGUGGGGGAGAAGAAACAUUUGGAUUAGACCAGCCGACCGAUUAUCUCUUCUAGAUGUGAGAGAGUUCCUUUAAUUAGAAAAAUGUAAGGUAUUCAUUAAUUCUUGAUCGAUUACUCAUCUUUCCAUUGUAUUUUUUUUUUUCUAUAAUCUUAAAUUUAUCAAAUUCAAAUUGUGGGGUUUGGUAAAAAUUUGAUCUCAGAAGAAAAUCCUAAUGGUGGUAGACUGGUUGUGUUAUGGCAGUAUAAAGAUAACAAGCAGUUUUAGGCGGGGUGUUUGGAUGCACGAUUAAACUGAUAAUAGAUGUAUGGAGUUGCAAUUAUCAGUCUUGAGAAUCAGGUUUUUUGCUAUCUUGCUUGAUUUUAUCGUAGCGUCUUUCAGAUGAGGUUAACUUCAGAUGUAUGAUUGUUAAGGGGCCGCCGGUGAUGGUAUCCGAUACCAUUUCACCGGCGAUUGAAGGGCAAACUGGUAAUUUUGACUCCGGUGAUUAGUAAUUUUUCUUAUUAUUCGUUUCGUAUACAUUACGAUCGAAGAAUUAGUAAUUUUUUUUAUUGUUCGUUUAUUACUUUGAUAGUUAUUUGAUAUAAAAGUUAGAGUAUAUUGGGAUUCAAAGUGGCGAUGGCAGUUACCUGAUGGUUACAGCUCCGACCAAUGAUAGGAUGCAGUAGCUUAAUCGGCUCAUGGUUCCUGAUUGAAGGAGAAACCAAGAUUCUCAACAAAGUGGAGGAUGGAAAUGAUCAAACUCUUAUUGACAUCGAUUCUAAGCACAAGGAUCUUCGAAUGUGCAGCUUAUAUGCUGCUGAUGUACGUGUGGCGGAGGUCGUAUAAGUUUAAAAAUUAUAUAAAUAAUGGGCUCGUAUAAGCUCGCUAGCCGCAUGGAGCUCGAUAAGCGAAACUCCGGCUUGUUUCGUAAACAUUAGAGAACUGGUAAAGAUUUUAAUUACGUGUUUUGAUAGUAUUUGAUCAAAGAAUU